AGAGUUUGAUCCUGGCUCAGGACGAACGCUGGCGGCGUGCCUAAUACAUGCAAGUAGAACGCUGAAGAGAGGAGCUUGCUCUUCUUGGAUGAGUUGCGAACGGGUGAGUAACGCGUAGGUAACCUGCCUUGUAGCGGGGGAUAACUAUUGGAAACGAUAGCUAAUACCGCAUAACAAUGGAUGACACAUGUCAUUUAUUUGAAAGGGGCAAUUGUUCCACUACAAGAUGGACCUGCGUUGUAUUAGCUAGUAGGUGAGGUAACGGCUCACCUAGGCGACGAUACAUAGCCGACCUGAGAGGGUGAUCGGCCACACUGGGACUGAGACACGGCCCAGACUCCUACGGGAGGCAGCAGUAGGGAAUCUUCGGCAAUGGGGGCAACCCUGACCGAGCAACGCCGCGUGAGUGAAGAAGGUUUUCGGAUCGUAAAGCUCUGUUGUAAGUCAAGAACGGGUGUGAGAGUGGAAAGUUCACACUGUGACGGUAGCUUACCAGAAAGGGACGGCUAACUACGUGCCAGCAGCCGCGGUAAUACGUAGGUCCCGAGCGUUGUCCGGAUUUAUUGGGCGUAAAGCGAGCGCAGGCGGUUUGAUAAGUCUGAAGUUAAAGGCUGUGGCUCAACCAUAGUUCGCUUUGGAAACUGUCAAACUUGAGUGCAGGAGGGGAGAGUGGAAUUCCAUGUGUAGCGGUGAAAUGCGUAGAUAUAUGGAGGAACACCGGUGGCGAAAGCGGCUCUCUGGUCUGUAACUGACGCUGAGGCUCGAAAGCGUGGGGAGCGAACAGGAUUAGAUACCCUGGUAGUCCACGCCGUAAACGAUGAGUGCUAGGUGUUGGAUCCUUUCCGGGAUUCAGUGCCGCAGCUAACGCAUUAAGCACUCCGCCUGGGGAGUACGACCGCAAGGUUGAAACUCAAAGGAAUUGACGGGGGCCCGCACAAGCGGUGGAGCAUGUGGUUUAAUUCGAAGCAACGCGAAGAACCUUACCAGGUCUUGACAUCCCGAUGCUAUUUCUAGAGAUAGAAAGUUACUUCGGUACAUCGGUGACAGGUGGUGCAUGGUUGUCGUCAGCUCGUGUCGUGAGAUGUUGGGUUAAGUCCCGCAACGAGCGCAACCCCUAUUGUUAGUUGCCAUCAUUCAGUUGGGCACUCUAGCGAGACUGCCGGUAAUAAACCGGAGGAAGGUGGGGAUGACGUCAAAUCAUCAUGCCCCUUAUGACCUGGGCUACACACGUGCUACAAUGGUUGGUACAACGAGUUGCGAGUCGGUGACGGCGAGCUAAUCUCUUAAAGCCAAUCUCAGUUCGGAUUGUAGGCUGCAACUCGCCUACAUGAAGUCGGAAUCGCUAGUAAUCGCGGAUCAGCACGCCGCGGUGAAUACGUUCCCGGGCCUUGUACACACCGCCCGUCACACCACGAGAGUUUGUAACACCCGAAGUCGGUGAGGUAACCUUUUGGAGCCAGCCGCCUAAGGUGGGACAGAUGAUUGGGGUGAAGUCGUAACAAGGUA
rnacentral:rRNA from 1 species